rnacentral:rRNA from 1 species
AGUGAACGCUGGCGGUAGGCCUAACACAUGCCAGUCGAACGGCAGCACAGUAAGAGCUUGUUCUUACGGGUGGCGAGUGGCGGACGGGUGAGGAAUACAUCGGAAUCUACUUUUUCGUGGGGGAUAACGUAGGGAAACUUACGCUAAUACCGCAUACGACCUACGGGUGAAAGCAGGGGAUCUUCGGACCUUGCGCGAUUGAAUGAGCCGAUGUCGGAUUAGCUAGUUGGCGGGGUAAAGGCCCACCAAGGCGACGAUCCGUAGCUGGUCUGAGAGGAUGAUCAGCCACACUGGAACUGAGACACGGUCCAGACUCCUACGGGAGGCAGCAGUGGGGAAUAUUGGACAAUGGGCGCAAGCCUGAUCCAGCCAUACCGCGUGGGUGAAGAAGGCCUUCGGGUUGUAAAGCCCUUUUGUUGGGAAAGAAAAGCAGCAGGUUAAUACCCCGCUGUUCUGACGGUACCCAAAGAAUAAGCACCGGCUAACUUCGUG